UUUUGUACAGGUACACUUAGUUGCUCAGUUCUCUUAAGAACUUGCAUUGCUUUGCUUAUAAGCAAUUGGCAUUGAGGUAUAGAACUUUCUUCUUCAUGUAGUCUGGAGACCCGGCUGUUACCGGGCCGGGCAAACUGUCUGAAGUCCUCCUUAAGAGGCAAUGCUUGUGUAUGUUUAUAUUUGUCCCAAGCAGGAAAAGUCCUCAUUUGAGGCAAUUGGUGGAAGGUAGGGAUAAGCAAUCUAUCCCCCACUAUUCAGUGAGUCUUCUCCUUGCUCCCAUUACAUGGUUGUAGCAUUGAGAUCCAAGCCCAAGAUCUUGUACAUUGUAC
rnacentral:lncRNA from 1 species